UGUUGCUUACCCACUUAGAGGAAUUCGAUGGCUUUGGUGCCCCCAUCCUCCUUACGCCCUUCGGGGUGUGGGGUGGACGCGAGGCGGGCUCCGUGUUCCCCGCGUGUCGAGUGCAUUGACACUCGUCCGUUGUGGCCCAUGGGGUCUCGGCCCGUGCUCUCGGAUGCGGAAUGUUGUGUGGGCGUGGGGUCUCGGCCUCUGUUCGUCCAAGCUACACGCAUUGUCCCUUGACAUGAAUGACCGUCGCGCUCGUCUUGAUCGGUCGACCGAGCCCCCAUCACGGGGCUCCGGGAGGGCGGCUCAUGCGAG
rnacentral:misc_RNA from 1 species